UUCCUCUCUCCAUAGCAAUGGAGAAAUACUUAUUGGUGAUAUUAUUCUCAUAUCAGUCAGGGCAGAGCAGCUGGCAAUCCUUUGUCCAUCCUAGCUUGAUGCCUGGCUUGGUGGCCAAAACUCUUUCAUACCUAGGACACAUAA